UAAUUCGCGUAAUUUGAGUUUUAAAAUCCAUUAAAAAGGUACAAUAUCAGUCUCACCCUUAAACCUAAGUUAAUCUCGCAUCCUUUAACACCGCCUUCCUCGGCCACCAUUGCACCAGCCACCAGCUCUAUCAUCUACCAUCGGCUCCCUAUUUAACCUUGAAUCAAACUUGACCCAAACAUUACCCUCAAAUACGGUGACGUAAACAUCAUCCAGUUUCUUCCUGUGUGGACAAUAUCUAUCAUCACCAGUAGCACCCCUGCCGACGACCUUCACGAUUUCAGGGAUUUGUAGAGAGAGGAUUACAAAUCGGGGGUUUGGGAAGGUGAUAAUUAUUCUUCAUAAAUGAAUUUAUGCUACUCUACUACUGGUGAGUUUUUCAUAUCCUCUUCACCUUCUUGAACGUGUUUGUUCUUCUGAUUCUUGUAUGUUGCUUGACUUUGAUGGUGAUGCUUUUUUUUUUUUCAGUUCUAUUGUAUUAUUCUAUACCGAUGUUGUUUCAUUGUAUGAUCAAUUUCUAUAAUCUGUAUUGAACUGAAAUAGUGCUUCCCGAUUUUCCUGAAAGUUUUCACAGGUAAUUCCGUAAUGGUGAAAUGAUUGAAUAAAGCGGGUCAAUGGGAAGAUGAUGGCUAAAAAUCGGCUCAGAAUGCUCUCCGCUUAGUUGGGUCAAAAGAAUAUCUUUAGGAGUCGGGUUUGAAACACUAUGCUAAGCUUCGAUCCCCAGCACUCUUUCACUCUUCAGUUGUGUCAAUUAUGUCUCCCCUACAAUACGAACUAUGCCAAACUCAUCAUCUUCUUUUUCCUUAUUUCUGGAGGUAAGAAUUUCCAUCGGAUUUUCUCUUUUUGUUCUGUCUCUUAUUCUCUUACCUUAUUUUCACAUCCAACAUUGUUUUUUUUAGUUUUGUAUGUAUUUCUGUCAAUGGUUGUGGUUCUCCAAGAUCUACAUAUUCAGUUAUAAAAUCCAUAAAGAAAGUAUUUCAAGAAGUACGUCCAUUUGCCUUUCCUUUUCACCCACUUCCCCUGAAACUAUUGUGAUUAUAAGCUGUUGUUGUAAACAGGUUUUUCAAUUUUGAACACGUGGUUUUAUUUUCGUGUAAUGAUCUGGUUUAAUCUUUUAAUUUGCAUCUUUUAUUCUACAUUUUUUUUCUCAUUUUUUGUGUGAAAUUUGUGUUAGGCUUUUUACCAGGUGGUAGAGUUAGGGCUCCAAGUAAAUACCAAAAAUCAAAGACAGGUAGCUUUUAACUUUGAAUCUCCUGAUCUUGACUGUACCAUGAAUGAAUGUGAAUGGAAUUUAAACAAUGCUUUUGAUAGAAACUGUGAUUGUGAACUUUGAUUGGCCUUUGAUUUGUUCAAGUAACUCUAAAUUUAUCGAUCUUGGAAGCUUUUACUGAUCUUGGUAUGCUUUUAAAGAAAACUAUGAUUUUGUUUUACAGUGAACUUGAUGAAAGAACUAUAGAUUCAAGAGAAAUGGUAGUAUCUUGAACUUGAUCACUAAAAAUUGAUUGACAAAUUGUAAACAUGAUCCAAUAACGCUUGGAUCUAAAUUAUGAUCUUUUGAUAGCUGUUAGAAACAGCUUUGUCAUUUGCAGGUUUAAAACAAGAAAUAAAAAAUAACAGAAAAUGAGAAGUUGAUCGAGGUUUAAAAGAAAGGAGUUAAAGGACGUUAGAGAAAAUAAAUUGAAAUCCAACUUUUAACCAAUUGUGGGGAGUUUCUGAUUCAUGAAUUUGAUAGUUUUAUACCUUUAUAUGCAUGUCAGGUCAAUGAGCACUAUUUUGAAUUUGCAUAUGUUUCUGGUUAUUUACAACAGGUCAAACAAGACUUAAAGUUCAAAGAAAGUUUUAAAUCCAUCCAAGUUGAUUUUUUUUGUUUCCUAGAAUGAUGAUGGAUAAAUGGAAUCUAGAAAUGUGGUUCUUUGAUCUCCCGGGUUUUCAGUCAUAUAAAGUUUUAUAUAUGUACUUUCUGUAUCAAGAUUCUUGACCUGGUUUAGAGAUUUGAAUGUUACCAAGCUUUUCUAUAUCAUAAAGCUUGACCUAGGGUUGGUAUAAUAUUAUUGUAAUUCAUAUAUUUAUUUUUAGAGUAUUAUAACAUAGAUGAAGAUUUUCCUGAUUU
rnacentral:lncRNA from 1 species